UCUACUGGACAUGCAAACAAGGGGGGUUGAGGGAAAGUGUGUCUUCUGUUGCCUGGCAACUGCAGGAUCAAUGGUCAGAGAGGAAACCAGGAAGUGAUUUUAUCCAUGGGGGAGAAAAAACGCAAAGGGAUGUAGAGCGUAUACUGAAGAUGGCCGUGACGUGAUAAUCAUGCAGCACUAACUAACCAAACUACAACUUCCAGCAUGCUGGAUACAACUCCUGACACCCCUGUUUGAAGGUGUCGUGGCACUUGGGAGGAAUUUACUACUCCAAAGAUGGCUUUACCAGGCACGAUUGGAGAAUAAGCCUGAAGAUAUCAUCAGGAAAGAAACGAUAUACGUCUGGAAGGAAUCGUCACAGUGGUCUGAGCUAGAUGGAAAAUUAAAGAGGACGACUCUAAUGGG